rnacentral:rRNA from 1 species
UGAAUACGAGAUGCUACGGCGUCGAAGCAGUCUAUGUCAUACUUCCAAGAAAAGCUUGCACUGUCAUAAACAAAUAAUGCCUGUACCAUAACCGACACAGGUGGGUAGGUAGAGUAUACUAAGGGGCGCGAGAUAACUCUCUCUAAGGAACUCGGCAAAAUGACUCCGUAACUUCGGGAGAAGGAGUGCCUUAUUUAUAAGGUUGCAAUAACAAGAUCCAAGCAACUGUUUACCAAAAACACAGGUCUCCGCUAAGUCGUAAGACGAUGUAUGGGGGCUGACGCCUGCCCAGUGCCAGAAGGUUAAAGAAGUUGGUUAGCAUCCGCGAAGCUGAUAACUGAAGCCCUGGUGAACGGCGGCCGUAACGAUAACGGUCCUAAGGUAGCGAAAUUCCUUGUCGGGUAAGUUCCGACCCGCACGAAAGGCGUAAUGAUUUGGAUACUGUCUCGGAGAGGGGCUCGGUGAAAUAGACUUGUCUGUGAAGAUGCGGACUACCUGCACCAGGACAGAAAGACUCUAUGAAGCUUUACUGUAACCUGAAAUUGAAAUUGGACUUUACUUGCGCAGUAUAGGUGGGAGGCGUUGAGAAUAUUCUUGCGGGAUUAUUGGAGCCAUCAGUGAGAUACCACUCUUGUAAUGUUAGAUUUCUAACUUUGUAUCAUUAUCUGGUCAAAGAACAGUUUCAGGCGGGCAGUUUGACUGGGGCGGUCGCCUCCUAAACGGUAACGGAGGCGCACAAAGGUUUCCUCUGAACGGGUAGAAAUCGUAUCUAGAGUGUAAAGGCAUAAGGAAGCUUGACUGUGAGACCUACAAGUCGAGCAGGGACGAAAGUCGGUCUUAGUGAUCUGACGGUGCUGAGUGGAAAGGCCGUCACUCAACGGAUAAAAGUUACUCUAAGGAUAACAGGCUGAUCUCCCCCAAGAGUUUACAUCGACGUGGAGGUUUGGCACCUCGAUGUCGGCUCAUCGCAUCCUGGGGCGGUAGUACGUCCCAAGGGUUGGGCUGUUCGCCCAUGAAAGCGGUACGCGAGCUGGGUUCAGAACGUCGUGAGACAGUUCGGUCCAUAUCCGGUGUAGGCGUUAGAAUAUUGAGAGGAGCCUUCUUUAGUACGAGAGGACCGAGAAGGACAUACCUCUGGUGUACCAGUUAUCGUGCCAACGGUAAACGCUGGGUAGCUAUGUGUGGAGUGGAUAACCGCUGAAAGCAUCUAAGUGGGAAGCCCACCUCAAGAUAAG